ensembl:lncRNA novel transcript
UACCACUCUUCUCUCAUGGAUCCUGAUACCAAACUCAUCGGAAACAUGGCACUGUUGCCUAUCAGAAGUCAAUUCAAAGGACCUGCCCCCAGAGAGAUGAGUUAUUCUCCCCACCUCAGAAGUACCAGCUUUUGGUGUAUCAUGCAGAUUCUCUCUUUCAUGAUAAGGAAUAUCGGAAUGCUGUGAGUAAGUAUACCAUGGCUUUACAGCAGAAGAAAGCGCUAAGUAAAACUUCAAAAGUGAGACCUUCAACUGGAAAUUCUGCAUCUACUCCACAAAGUCAGUGUCUUCCAUCUGAAAUUGAAGUGAAAUACAAAAUGGCUGAAUGUUAUACAAUGCUAAAACAAGAUAAAGAUGCCAUUGCUAUACUUGAUGGGAUCCCUUCAAGACAAAGAACUCCCAAAAUAAACAUGAUGCUGGCAAACCUGUACAAGAAGGCUGGUCAGGAGCGCCCUUCAGUCACCAGCUAUAAGGAGGUGCUGAGGCAGUGCCCAUUAGCCCUUGAUGCCAUUCUAGGCUUGUUGUCCCUUUCUGUAAAAGGGGCAGAGGUGGCAUCCAUGACAAUGAAUGUGAUCCAAACCGUGCCUAACUUGGACUGGCUCUCUGUGUGGAUCAAAGCGUAUGCUUUUGUGCACACUGGUGACAACUCAAGAGCAAUCAGUACCAUCUGGUGAGAGCCACAAAGUUAAUUCAGUGUUCUUGAGGCCCUUUGCUUGUCUGGAAGUCUGAUGUAUCUGAAGUAGCAAAAAGAAAAAUGAGAUGCUUUGCUGUUGGUGCUGCAGCCAGUCUCUGGGAUGUGUUAGUCUUUUAUACUGAAUGGUCCCAAAUGUAAUCAUGUAAUCAUCUCUGUUGGAGACCUGUAAAAAUAGAAAUCUGACUGAGUUUAGCUCUGUGCCUGCACAGGUAGUAACCCUUGCAAAGCAAAGCAGGCUACCUUGGUGUGUCA